rnacentral:misc_RNA from 1 species
AUUUGGAAACAGAAAAGAGUGUAGCCUGCAUAGGCCAUGAUGGGUAUGCAUACAAUAGGAUGGAUGCAGUGGGUGGGAGGGAAUAUCCUGAUGCAACAUUGGCCAGGCAUGUGGAAAAGGGUAUGGGUAUUGAUGAUGGGAUUCAAAAUGGUAGAAAGGAGUAUGUUGAUCAUGAUAGAGUCAGGGCUGCUUCAUAUUCAGAAUUGAAAGAGAGGAACCUGUCAUUGCAGGGUGAAAGGUUUCAACCACCACGUACUGAUGUCAGAUUUAGUAGGUCUGAAUUGCUACCCCUGGUGCGGUCUGAAUCAUCAGAAAGGCCUAAGGGACACCAACAGCUGAGUAACUCUGCU